CUAUACUGCAGUCGAGCGGACAGAUGGGAGCUUGCUCCCUGAUGUUAGCGGCGGACGGGUGAGUAACACGUGGGUAACCUGCCUGUAAGACUGGGAUAACUCCGGGAAACCGGGGCUAAUACCGGAUGCUUGAUUGAACCGCAUGGUUCAAUUAUAAAAGGUGGCUUUUAGCUACCACUUACAGAUGGACCCGCGGCGCAUUAGCUAGUUGGUGAGGUAACGGCUCACCAAGGCGACGAUGCGUAGCCAACCUGAGAGGGUGAUCGGCCACACUGGGACUGAGACACGGCCCAGACUCCUACGGGAGGCAGCAGUAGGGAAUCUUCCGCAAUGGACGAAAGUCUGACGGAGCAACGCCGCGUGAGUGAUGAAGGUUUUCGGAUCGUAAAACUCUGUUGUUAGGGAAGAACAAGUACCGUUCGAAUAGGGCGGUACCUUGACGGUACCUAACCAGAAAGCCACGGCUAACUACGUGCCAGCAGCCGCGGUAAUACGUAGGUGGCAAGCGUUGUCCGGAAUUAUUGGGCGUAAAGCGCGCGCAGGCGGUUUCUUAAGUCUGAUGUGAAAGCCCCCGGCUCAACCGGGGAGGGUCAUUGGAAACUGGGGAACUUGAGUGCAGAAGAGGAGAGUGGAAUUCCACGUGUAGCGGUGAAAUGCGUAGAGAUGUGGAGGAACACCAGUGGCGAAGGCGACUCUCUGGUCUGUAACUGACGCUGAGGCGCGAAAGCGUGGGGAGCGAACAGGAUUAGAUACCCUGGUAGUCCACGCCGUAAACGAUGAGUGCUAAGUGUUAGAGGGUUUCCGCCCUUUAGUGCUGCAGCAAACGCAUUAAGCACUCCGCCUGGGGGAGUACGGUCGCAAGACUGAAACUCAAGGAAUUUGACGGGGGCCCGCACAAGC
rnacentral:rRNA from 1 species